GCUGGGAUAGCUCAGUCAGCAGAGCGUGAGACUCUUAAUCUGAAGGUCACGGGUUCGAGCCCCACAUGGGGCA
rnacentral:tRNA from 1 species